GAAGGAAUAUUUUUUAUACAUCCAUAUUUAUGUCUCAUGAAGAAAAGCUAGCCUCUGAGAUAGAAACGGACAUGAUGACACAGAUGAGGGACCAGCAGCGUGGCUGGAACGGGAGACGGCUGGGUGAGCUGUGCACACUGGGGCCAGGGAGGUGGGCAGAGGAGACCAGCAGGGCCUUGUGGGGUGAUUGCCCUGGGUGGACAGGGAAGAUGGACAGGAGCACAGACCAAUGAGAAUGAGGGCUGAGGGAGGACCUUAGAGAGAGACAGCGGGAUCUAGGUGGAUCUGAUUUACCAAAGAUUUUCCAUCCUGGAGGCGUCAGACUCAGGCUAAUGACUAGAAAAGCCAGAGCUGGGGAAGCCCCUUCCCUGCUAACCGGCAGCUGCAGAGGACAAACAGGCAGCAUCGGUGGAGACGUGGCUACCCGAGGCCCUGGAACCAGUGCAGGCCAGGCAGACACUGCCCUGAAGAUGGACCUUGGCACACACCGAGGUUCACCCUGAUCCGGAAUUUUGGGGUCUGAGUGACACCAGCAUUCACCAAACCUGUGAAGAAGGAGAAGAAGCUGAUCCUGCAGCCACCACGGAAAGGCUUAGUGCUGGGACCUGGACAUUCUCAUAGAAGGGCCCCUGCCCAGGUCUCACCUACCUGCCUGCAGGAGACAAAAGGCCACACAGCACAGGAGGUGGGACACCUGCCCAACGUAGCCAGAGCACCUUUGUAUGCCCCCGGUCACUGGCUUCCCGUGCUUGGAGUAAGACAGCAGCAAGCAGCUUGCCUCACGCCGGUGCCUGACCUUUCUCUGUGGCAAGAGGACUACUGCUCAGCGCUGCAGGAGGCCUGCUGGCACUGAGGAUGACAGAGGGACUUGAGAAGGGGCUGAGUCCAGGGCAACUGCGGGCACAGCCUUGUUCAAGACAAAGCCAGGCCGCAGGCUGUUGGUAUCUGUGCGUGGAAUUCAGCAUUGUUGUACCCAG